UACGUAGGUGGCAAGCGUUUGUCCGGAAUUAUUGGGCGUAAAGCGCGCGCAGGCGGUCCUUUAAGUCUGAUGUGAAAAGCCCCACGGCUCAACCGUGGAGGGGUCAUUGGAAACUGGGGGGACUUGAGUACAGAAGAGAAGAGUGGAAUUCCACGUGUAGCGGUGAAAUGCGUAGAGAUGUGGAGGAACACCAGUGGCGAAGGCGACUCUUUGGUCUGUAACUGACGCUGAGGCGCGAAAGCGUGGGGAGCAAACAGGG
rnacentral:rRNA from 1 species